GCUCUCUAUUGUUGGAGGUGAAUAGACACAUCCAGUUUGUGAUUGCUGUGAAAAAGAUGAUGAAAUGAAAUGAGUAGCAGAUUGAUAGCAUACAUACAUA